GUAGGUGACAAGCGUUGUCCGGAUUUACUGGGCGUAAAGAGCGCGCAGGCGGUCGUUCAAGUCGAGUGUGAAAGCCCCCGGCUCCACUGGGGAGGGUCAUUCGAUACUGAUCGACUGGAAGGCAGGAGAGGGUAGUGGAAUUCCCGGUGUAGUGGUGAAAUGCGUAGAUAUCGGGAGGAACACCAGUGGCGAAGGCGACUACCUGGCCUGUUCUUGACGCUGAGGCGCGAAAGCUAGGGGAGCAAACGGGAUUAGAUACCCCGGUAGUCCUAGCCGUAAACGAUGGACACUAGGUGUUGGUGGUAUCAACCCCGCCAGUGCCGAAGCUAACGCAUUAAGUGUCCCGCCUGGGGAGUACGGCCGCAAGGCUA
rnacentral:rRNA from 1 species